AUACAGACCGUUAGAUUUGAGCAAAAUUAACGAUUAAGAUGUAGUUGCGUGUGUUGUGUUGGAAAUUGAUAAUCUCGUUCUUCCCUUCUUACAAACUCAUACUACUUUCUCUCUCCUCAUGAACAUAAUUUCUCUACAAAUCCAGCCUCCAAGUUUCCCAAUUGUGACUCAAAUUUUCAGUCAAAUACAGAGUAUGUUAUAAUUGCUUUUGGAGCUGGUUCACCUCGCGAUCUUAUUUGAGACUUUGAUAUCAAACGUGGUUUAUUUUUGUAAUACCCGAGAUUUUAAAACCUGAUUUAUUAUACGCUAAUAUUUAUUUUAUUAGCUUAAUUAAAGUUUUGUCUCUGUUUUAACAAGAACGAAUGUUUUAAUCUUGAAUUUUAUUUUAAUAUUAUAUUAUUUCAGAAGCUAAUUUUAAGGAAAGUAAAUUAUUAUUUUACAGCUUAUUUCUGAUCAGUAUAAUGUUUAAAGAUUUGUAUCAAAAUAUGUAUUUUUACCCGAGAAAAUAAAAUGACCAAAAUGCCCUUACUUAUCAUAAGAGACAAAAUCCACCUCCUAAGUUCAUCCCUUUUUCACCACUAAGAAAAGAAUUGACAAUUUCAUUUUUCAUUGUUUCCUUUACCAUUGGUUGCCUAAUUCCUGUGAUAAUCUUGUCACUUAAUAAACUUUUAUAAUCUUUUCUUGUAAGCUAUUGAUCCUUCACCGUUAAGAAACAAAAGAGCAAAGGAUAAACUUUGCUUCAUUCAACUAGAAAACAAAACCCACCUCUUGCUUCUCUAUUCCCCUCACGGUUAAGAGCUUUAUAAUACAAAGUCUAAUUUUGCCUUUCCAUAUAAUUGGUCACUCAAAAUCCCAUGAUUAUCAAUUUAGCAAAUCUUGAUCUUAUCUUCUUCUUUCUUUCAAGUUCAUUCUAGCAACCAUAUUACUCUAUAUAUAUAUAUAAAAUGUCACCACCGUUCACUAGUGUCAUUAACUCAUUAUAUACUUUCUUUUCUCCUUUCGUAAACUUUCUUGUCAAACUAAUGAAAAUGGCCUUCUAAGACCCAUUACCUUAUUGCUUCGUAUACUACUAAUUAGCCCAAGAAGAAUCGGACCUCGGAUCUCAGUGAGAACGAUAGAAUAAAGGCUAACAGGAAGGUUAUCAGACUGUAAAUCGAGGUACUGCUGGGGAUGAUGGAAACGAGUAGUAGCGAGGAUUUUACUUUCAGUUAUCACUUAAUAGUAGUUAUAUUUUUAAGUUGUUUAAUUUCAAUAGUAAGACUAAGCUACUUAGUAAGUUUGUGAUAAGAUAGGAUUUGCUAUUAUAAAAAAAUAAAUAAAUAAAAAUAAAUCAAGAAUAAUGUUUGUAAUAAAUAGAUUACUAUGUUUUAUAAAUCAAGUUUGUUAAUUAAGUAUGAUUGUUGCCUUGUAAAUCUCGUAAGGGAUUUACGGCAGUGACGUCCCGACCGUUUUAGGUUAAUUCCGCUGCGAAGAUUCUCUUAAUAACUGAAUUAGAGGUCAGGGCGUUACAAUUUUUGAUUUGAUGUGAGGGUUUUAAUUGAUAUGAUGAAUUUAUUUUUCUCAAAGUAAAU